AACGUAGGUGGCGAGCGUUAUCCGGAUUCAUUGGGCGUAAAGAGCUCGUAGGCGGCUCAGUAAGUCGGGUGUGAAACCCCCAGGCUCAACCUGGGGACGCCACCCGAUACUGCUGUGGCUAGAGUCCAGUAGGGGAGUGUGGAAUUCCCGGUGUAGCGGUGAAAUGCGUAGAUAUGUGGAGGAACACCGAUGGCGAAGGCAGCCCCCUGGGCUAACACUGACGCUCAUGCACGAAAGCGUGGGGAGCAAACAGG
rnacentral:rRNA from 1 species